rnacentral:rRNA from 1 species
AUGAGCCCCACGCUGACGGACACCCUCGCCGGCGACAGCUCCGCCUGCUCCGGGAACAGGUCGGACGACAGCUUGCACACGGCGAUCACCGAGUUGAGCACCGACAGCGGGAGCUGCGGCACGGCCGCCUGCCAGAACCCGAUCUUGAAAUCUUCCCAUGUUAUCUUCACCAGCCCCAGCGGCGCCGGCCCGAAGCGGAGGCCGCGGAAGAUGGAGGGGUCACGCACGAAGCAGAGCACCAGGCCGACCGCGAACACGAUCAGCGCCGCCGGGACGCGGCCGCAGGAGCGACGGCGCGCGGUGGCGCGGCCGUCGGCUGCGUUGAUGGCGUCGUCGUCGUCCCCGGAGCCGGUGGUGAGGAGGAUGAACAGCAGCGCGGCGAGCGCGAGCAGCAGGCCGUCGAGGCCCAGCAGGGGGCGCUCCACGGAGGUGGAGGCGGAGGACGAGCGGGAGAAGUCCUGGUCGUAG